rnacentral:rRNA from 1 species
CGCGGCCUAUCAGCUUGUUGGUGGGGUAAUGGCCUACCAAGGCGACGACGGGUAGCCGGCCUGAGAGGGCGACCGGCCACACUGGGACUGAGACACGGCCCAGACUCCUACGGGAGGCAGCAGUGGGGAAUAUUGCACAAUGGGCGGAAGCCUGAUGCAGCGACGCCGCGUGAGGGAUGACGGCCUUCGGGUUGUAAACCUCUUUCACCCAUGACGAAGCGCAAGUGACGGUAGUGGGAGAAGAAGCGCCGGCCAACUACGUGCCAGCAGCCGCGGUAAGACGUAGGGCGCGAGCGUUGUCCGGAAUUAUUGGGCGUAAAGAGCUCGUAGGCGGCUUGUCGCGUCGGCUGUGAAAUCCCGUGGCUCAACUGCGGGUCUGCAGCCGAUACGGGCAGGCUAGAGUUCGGUAGGGGAGACUGGAAUUCCUGGUGUAGCGGUGAAAUGCGCAGAUAUCAGGAGGAACACCGAUGGCGAAGGCAGGUCUCUGGGCCGAUACUGACGCUGAGGAGCGAAAGCGUGGGGAGCGAACAGGAUUAGAUACCCUGGUAGUCCACGCUGUAAACGUUGGGCGCU